ensembl:lncRNA
UCCGCCCAUCCAUACACGUAUGUCUAUGAUUCUGUCAGACACGUAAGGUCGACUUCCUGUGCACGUUGCGUGACCUACACGUACGCGCUGUGAAUGACGUCAUGACGUUCAUUCGCUUCCCGGCAAACAACUGACCUUCCCAACCAACGUCGUUACAGAAGAUAACCACCUAACUGCUGUUAAACUGGUAUCGAAGUGGUUACAGCUGCUUGGAAAGGUCACACACAGGUUUUGAAUCCUACCUCCAGCUCUCACAGUUGUCGAACUGGUACUACCGAGCAGUGUAAACUGGGUAAAUAUGUACCCAUGGUAGCCACUGCUGACCCAGGACACUUGUUAUACUUUACUGCUGGAAGACAUCGACAUUCUAGGAUGACCAACAAGACCAGCAACUUUGGGCCCAGAUAAUUAAAUGGAAGACUGUAGCUCAGUCUUGACAGCAGUUGAGAUUAUAUAAGGUGCAACUGGAUCACAGCAACUCUUCAUUCUUCUGAGACACACACUGACUGUUUCUAGACGAAGUCAUCGUCAUCAUGCGUGAUGAUGAUCAUGGCAAUUUGAACUCACCCU